UACAGAGGUCUCGAGCGUUAGGCGGAAUCACUGGGCUUAAAGCGUGUGUAGGCGGAUCGUUAAGUGCCUUGUGAAAUCCCACGGCUCAACCGUGGAACUGCUUGGCAUACUGGCGGUCUUGAGCAACCUAGGGGCGAGCGGAACAAAUGGUGGAGCGGUGAAGUGCGUAGAUAUCAUUUGGAACGCCAAUGGUGAAAACAGCUCGCUGGGGGUUUGCUGACGCUGAGACACGAAAGCCAGGGGAGCAAACGGG
rnacentral:rRNA from 1 species